AAAUCUUGAACUUCUUUUCACAGUAGUAGCCACUGAAGUUUUAGCAGUCUGUUGCUGCAGACUCUGAUUGUCAUCACCCCCAAGUGUAGCUGCAGAUGGAUCUCUACGCCGUCUUUUGGCACGAGUUGCCUGAGUCUCACCUUCUGCCAUGCACAUCCGGCACCUUCCUGGGUUUUCCUCAUCCUUCCCCAUUAUCAUUUCCAUGUUAUACUUCCUUGGAAUCCUUUUCUUUCCUUCUUUCUGUGGUCUGUGUUCCUG
rnacentral:misc_RNA from 1 species